GUCUCCCCGGAAGAAUUUAUAUGGGGAGUCGGACCUGCCCAGUGACUGUAAUGUUAAACGGCCGCGGUACCCUAACCGUGCAAAGGUAGCAUAAUCAUUUGCCUUUUAAAUGGAGGCUUGUAUGAAUGGUUUGACGAGAGCCAAGCUGUCUCUUUUAAAAUAAUUAAAAAUUAACUUCUAGGUGAAGAGGCCUAGAUAAAGCUGAGGGACAAGAAGACCCUGUUGAGCUUUAGUGUUAUUAAAUUUAACUGUAAUUACAUUUAUGUAAUAUUUUAAUUUAAUGAUUCUUUAGUUGGGGCGACUGAGGAACAUAAAAAGCUUCCUUGAAUUAUUAUAAUGAAUUUUGCAAAUAAGUUAGUCUGAUCCGAUUUUGUCGAUUAAGAGAAAAAGUUACCACAGGGAUAACAGCGUAAUCUUUCUGGAGAGAUCUAAUCAAAAGAAGGGUUUGCGACCUCGAUGUUGGACUAAGGUAUCCUGAGGGUGUAGAAGUUCUUGAGGGUUAGUCUGUUCGACUAUUAAAACCUU
rnacentral:rRNA from 1 species